AUUGAACGCUGGCGGCAUGCUUUACACAUGCAAGUCGAGCGGUAACAGGCCUUCGGGUGCUGACGAGUGGCGAACGGGUGAGUAAUGCAUCGGAACGUACCCAGAGGUGGGGGAUAACGCAGCGAAAGCUGUGCUAAUACCGCAUGUGAUCUGAGGAUGAAAGCGGGGGACCGAGCAGCAAUGUUUGGCCUCGCGCCUUUGGAGCGGCCGAUGUCGGAUUAGAUAGUUGGUGGGGUAAAGGCCUACCAAGGCGACGAUCCGUAGCUGGUCUGAGAGGACGACCAGCCACACUGGGACUGAGACACGGCCCAGACUCCUACGGGAGGCAGCAGUGGGGAAUUUUGGACAAUGUGCGCAAGCCUGAUCCAGCAAUGCCGCGUGCGGGAAGAAGGCCUUCGGGUUGUAAACCGCUUUUGGCAGGAACGAAACGGUGUCCGCUAAUACCGGGCGCUAAUGACGGUACCUGCAGAAUAAGCACCGGCUAACUACGUG
rnacentral:rRNA from 1 species